rnacentral:lncRNA from 1 species
UUUUAUUUACAAUAUAUAAUUCAUAUAAUUCUAGAAUGUGAAAAAAUCAAAUUUUGAUCAACACCAAAUUUGUAACAUUAACAUAAAAAUUUGUCGUUCUUACAAAGUAUCAAGUGCACCACUGUGGCACUACAUAAUAUCAAAAAUACAUAACGAGAAGUAACUAAAGCUAAUUCGUUGGAAUAUAAUUAGCUUCUAAUCUUCAUCUCUUCCAUCUUCAUCA